UACGAGGGGGGCGAGCGUUGUUCGGAAUUAUUGGGCGUAAAGGGCGCGUAGGCGGUUUGGUAAGUCUUGUGUGAAAUCUUCGGGCUCAACUCGAAGUCUGCAUGAGAAACUGCCGGGCUUGAGUGUGGGAGAGGUGAGUGGAAUUCCCGGUGUAGCGGUGAAAUGCGUAGAUAUCGUAAGGAAGACCAGUGGCGAAGGCGGGUCUCUGGACAGUUCCUGACGCUGAGGCACGAAGGCCAGGGGAGCAAACGGG
rnacentral:rRNA from 1 species